rnacentral:ncRNA from 2 species
GGAAGAGGGGUGCAAAGCCCCCGCUGCCCCGCAGCCGUAAUGGGAACGAACACCCACCCACGCAUUGAUCGCAUGGGUACAGCCACUGGGAUUUCUCCUGGGAAGGCGGGUCAGUAGGUCGCCCUGAGCCGGAAUAC